rnacentral:snRNA from 1 species
GAGGCGGGGUACAACCCC